CCCGGCCUAUCAGCUUGUUGGCGUGGUGCGGUCCUACCGAGGCGAAGACGGUUAACCGGCCUGACACCUAGACCGGCCAGACUGGGACUGAGACACGGCCCAGACUCCUACGGGAUGCCUCCCCGCGGAAUAUUGCCUCAUGGGCGGAAGCCGGACGCAGCGACGCCUCGUGCGGGAGGACGGCCCCCGAUAUGUGAACCUCCUUCCGCUAGACGAAACUCCGUGAUCCCCCUGGUAAACAAGCACCGGCCAAUUACAAGCCCGAGCCGCGUUAAUAUCCAGGGUUCAAGUAUGACCUGAAUUAUUGGUGUAAAGUCUUUGCACCCGGUAUGUCCCGUCUGCUGUGAAAUCCUAAGGCUUAACCCUGUUGCCUGCCACCCGAUACGGGUCAGAGUAUAGUCUGAAGGUCCAGUCUGUUUCUCUUGAUCCCGGGGGGAAGAGGGUAACAUACCAGAAGGACGUCCUCCGGCGAAGGCGGUUCUUGGGCCAGUCUUCUGACCCUGUGGACAAUAUUCGCGACUGAUGCACCCCGAUAAGAUACUAGUGCCAUAUCCACGCUCCCAACGUUGCGGCUACCUGCUUGGGCCCGGUUACCGACUUCCGCGUCGCCUGUUCCGUACUCUCACGCCCCGCCUGGAGGGGUCCG
rnacentral:rRNA from 1 species